rnacentral:rRNA from 1 species
UACAGAGGUCUCAAGCGUUGUUCGGAUUCAUUGGGCGUAAAGGGUGCGUAGGUGGCGCUGUAAGUCAGGUGUGAAAUUUCGGAGCUUAACUCCGAAACUGCAUUUGAUACUGCGGUGCUCGAGGACUGGAGAGGAGACUGGAAUUUACGGUGUAGAGGUGAAAUUCGUAGAUAUUGGGAAGAACACCGGUGGCGAAGGCGGCUCUCUGGACCGAUACUGACGCUGAGGCGCGAAAGCGUGGGGAGCAAACAGG